UCUGAGAGGAUAUGAGGGCUACAGCAGCUGCAGCCACCUUGCCCCUUCAAGGGCAAAACUGGGAGCUGCUUGGGGCAUGACCUGAGUCAGAAGAACAAAGCCAACCCAGUGAGAAACAGCAGGUUGCUGGUUUCUUCAAUCAGGGGAGCAGUGAACAAUGACCGCCUCCAGCACCGAUUCAUUCACAGACCCAGCCUUCCUCUCCGCCUCCUCCCCCAUCAGCCCGUUGGCUGUUAGAGCUCCUUUCAUCAGACUCGUCUUCAAGUCUUCCCACUUUUCAGCUCCGAUGUCAGUUCUGCAUCUAGUUGAAAUUCCUUUGCAACAUUGCGAUGUCUGAUUGGAAUGAGGGAUGAACACUUGGGAGGAGUCAAGAAUGGCCCAGGUCUGCAUCCUGGAUGAGUGUUUUUGGAGUUUCUCUGGCUCACCACUUGACAGGCAUCAUUCAUAGACUAUCAUAUUCCAGGUGCUGAAGCCCCCUGGUGACUAGUUGGAUACAAACACAAAGGAACCCUAGAACUGAACCUUCAGGAAAGGAAGAGGCACUGUAACAGGGAUCUCAGAGGAAACCUGAGCACCAGGACAGGGGCAUCAAGGAGAAGUCGGUAGUAAGAUGAGGCCUGGAGGGACCAUCGGCUUCUGCAAGUUGGAGUUUGCUGCUCAACAGGCGGAAGCAGAGGCUCGACCCAGACUGAUCUGAGGAGAAACUGGGGCUGGUGUGGAUAGAGCAGCUGCAGAGAACUCACAGAAUUUUGACGUGAAGGGGAGAGAGAAAAUGGGGAGACGGCUGGAGGGAGACGUAUGGUCAAGUAGAUGUUUGUUAAAGCUUUUAAAAAAUGUGGGAUGUUGGGGCAUGUUAUUUUCAGAAGCUGGGGGUAUUCUAGUAUAAAGGGAGAAAUCGGUAAGGAAAGAGGGGUGCAGAGUGCCAGUGGAAGGGUUGGCUCCGAUAGGUGCGCAAACCCUUAGUUCACCUAAGAGUUGGGAAGGCCGUGAACGUAGGCAAGGCACAGACUUGUUGGCAGAGGAAAGGGCUUCUGUCUGAUUGGUUGUACUGUCUCCAUAAUGUAUGAGGCAAGCUCAUCUUUUCAGAGUGAAGGAUGAGAAGGGGACAAAGGAGAGUGAAAAAUCAUCCUUACAGAGUGCGGGUAAUUGAAUGCAGCAGGGAAGUACAGCAGAAUUGUCUCCUGCUAUAGUCUUCUUUGCCAUUUGUGGUCAUCAGUUUAAAGUGACACUAGUCACUUUCAGUUUCCCAAUGUUUUUAUAUUCCAAUUUAACCGGAGAGUAGGAGGUUGGCUGGGUUUAACUAUGUCGGGCGAACUAGGAGACAAUGGGCAAAGGGGUUACGGGUUUUUGUGAGGACGUGAGUCUCGGGAUCAUUGCUAAGCUGGUUAAGCAGGAGCAGGAGCCUGUGGGGGAAGCUAAAUAUGAAAAUCUGGCAGGAUCAAAGGUUUGCAGGUCUUGGUGAAGUUGAAGAAAUGCUUGUGUGUGAUAUUUUAGUAAAGAAGCUAAAGUCAGAUCUGAGAUCUUUGCAGUUGUGUUUUCUGAGAUAGCGCAGUUAUUGGUGAGAGCGAGUCCAGGGUAAGACCAAUGAGAGGGGGUAUUUGAAGACAGGAUAAGGGAAAACUUCACUGGUAGGGAAGAAACAUGUAACGGAGACGUCCGUAAGAUUUCUGAUAGAUUAUGCUUAUGGAUUUGAGGUUGUAGAGUAAGGUGCAGGAACUGAGAUGAAAGCCAGUUCAUGAGAGCAAAAAAGAGAGGUUGCAGGUGGGAAAAUACAAUAGUGAGAACUUGAAGGGGAUUGGGUUCUUGAAAGAGGGAGGAGGAAAAGUACCAAAAAUAUUUAUGGCGCUUGCCUGCCUACCCACAGCCUCUUGUAGGCAGUCAUGAUGCCAGCUGCCCCCACACUCAUAGCAAUAGUUGACUGGUCAAGGGGUGAGCUCUGACCUACGGGCCACCAGUCUGUGGACUGGCCAGUGACCUGUUCAAUGAGCUGUCGGCACUAAAAGAUGCAUUAACUGGAUUCUGUCUUGGGGUCUGAAUUAUGAAACAAAAAGAAUUUGCUAGUUAAUAGAGUAAGUGGAUGCAGAGAAUAAAGGAGGACAAAGGUCACCGGGGUGGACCUCAUUUGGCGGAGAUGUGGAGGAGGGAAAGGGCUACAAGCUGAGGACGUGGGGCAAUGAAGGCAGAAUGUAUCAGAUGCAUCAAAAGCAGCAGAAAUGGGGCCUCAUGAGAGAGACAGAGUAGCCUGCCCCUGAGUUCUGGGUUGGUUCUCCAGCCCCCUUAUUUGAGCAGGGAAGCAACAUAAGCAGGUGUGGGGUUAUAGUGGGCUCUGGUCCAAGAAUGCCUGGCUGUGAAUCAUUAGUUAUGUGAUCUCGGGCAAGUUGCUUAACCUUUCUGUACCUCAGUUCCCUUAUUUGCACAGUGCGAGUCACAGCACUGUCCUCACAGGGGUGUAGUGAGCAUUACAUGAGAAAAUACAGGUAAUGCAUUUUGAACAAAGGCUUCCUUUUCACCUUAUUUCCUCUAUUUAUUUUAAAGAUUUUAUUUAUUUUUAGAGAGGGGAAGGGAAGGAGAAACAGAGGAAAAGAAACAUCAACGUGUAGUUGCCUCUCACACACCCCCUACAGGGGACCUGGCCCGCACGUGCCCUGACUGGGAAUUGAACUGGCAACCCUUUGGUUCACAGGUCCACGCUCAAUCCACUGAGCUACACCAGCCAGGUCUAUCUUAUUUUCUUUAAGUAAAGAGUUCAAGUGUCGUUUCCUUCACAAAACUUUCCCUCGCGCCCUGACUGGUCCCUUGGCUUCCAGGAGGGACAUUACCUUCUGACGGUUCUCUUGGUCCUCCUUCUCAGUGGCCUUACCUAGUUCCUUUAUCUUCUUGACCUCUCCUCUCUGCUUUCACCUUAGUGAGCUCACCUAGUUGUCUUGUGCUCUUAAGUACCUUAAAAUAUCAUUUAUUAGCUAACAGUUCUCCUAAGUUAAUCACCAACUCCAACUUCUUUCCCCGACUCCAGACUUCCAUGUCUGAUUUCUUAUUUGGCACCUCCAUUUAAAUCUCCAAUAGGCAAUUUAAAAUAUAACUUGCCUCAAAGUGACUCUUAUGCCCCCUCAAAAUACCUGUUCCUCCUUAUAAGCUUCCACAGAUCAACAAAUGACAAACCCUUCAAAUGUUGAUAAAGCUAAAAAUCUUAGCAUCCUCCUCGACUCCUUUCUUCUUCUCAUGCCCACCACCAAUCCAUCAGCAAAAAUCUAGUAUGUGAUCUCUUCUUGCCACCUCAAUGUUACUGCCCUGACGGAGGAAGCACCUUCAUCUCUCUGCUGUGUGACCUUGGAUUACCUCUCUGGGUCUCUGUUAUGAGGAGUAAAUGAGUUAUUAUUUGUAAAGUGGUUGAUGGUGUCUGUCACACAGGAAGCCCCAUCUAAGUGCUUUUCAAGUAAAUAAAAAAUGACUUGAAUACAGAACUAGCUUUCCAACAGCCCUAGUCCCCCUGCAGUCUAUUCUGAAUACAGCAGCCUCGUGAUACUUUUAAAGCCCAGGCCAGACAGAUCCUGUUGCUGUGCUGCACCUGACCUCCACUCCCACCCGUCCGGUUGGAUCCGGGGCAGCCCCAGAUCAUGGACAUACCAGGGACUAUCCCCUUUGGGCCUUUGCUCUUGCUUGUGCCUCCUUCUGAUUAAAUGCUACCAAGUUAGGUCUCUUCUGGCCUCAUUUUGCUAAUUGGCCUGUCUCUUCUUUCACUCUGAUUUUCCUCCAUAUGUCCAAUCACCACCUGACACUCAAUCUACUUGGUAGCUGAUUGCCUCCCCUCCAACGCUGAAGAUCUGCAACAACA